rnacentral:rRNA from 1 species
GAUGAACGCUGGCGGCGUGCCUAAUACAUGCAAGUCGAGCGAACAGACGAGGAGCUUGCUCCUCUGACGUUAGCGGCGGACGGGUGAGUAACACGUGGAUAACCUACCUAUAAGACUGGGAUAACUUCGGGAAACCGGAGCUAAUACCGGAUAAUAUAUUGAACCGCAUGGUUCAAUAGUGAAAGACGGUUUUGCUGUCACUUAUAGAUGGAUCCGCGCCGCAUUAGCUAGUUGGUAAGGUAACGGCUUACCAAGGCAACGAUGCGUAGCCGACCUGAGAGGGUGAUCGGCCACACUGGAACUGAGACACGGUCCAGACUCCUACGGGAGGCAGCAGUAGGGAAUCUUCCGCAGUGGGCGAAAGCCUGACGGAGCAACGCCGCGUGAGUGAUGAAGGUCUUCGGAUCGUAAAACUCUGUUAUUAGGGAAGAACAAAUGUGUAAGUAACUAUGCACGUCUUGACGGUACCUAAUCAGAAAGCCACGGCUACUACGUG